AUUGAACGCUGGCGGCAGGCCUAACACAUGCAAGUCGAGCGGAUGAAGGGAGCUUGCUCCUGGAUUCAGCGGCGGACGGGUGAGUAAUGCCUAGGAAUCUGCCUGGUAGUGGGGGAUAACGUCCGGAAACGGGCGCUAAUACCGCAUACGUCCUGAGGGAGAAAGUGGGGGAUCUUCGGACCUCACGCUAUCAGAUGAGCCUAGGUCGGAUUAGCUAGUUGGUGGGGUAAAGGCCUACCAAGGCGACGAUCCGUAACUGGUCUGAGAGGAUGAUCAGUCACACUGGAACUGAGACACGGUCCAGACUCCUACGGGAGGCAGCAGUGGGGAAUAUUGGACAAUGGGCGAAAGCCUGAUCCAGCCAUGCCGCGUGUGUGAGGAAGGUCUUCGGAUUGUAAAGCACUUUAAGUUGGGAGGAAGGGCAGUAAGUUAAUACCUUGCUGUUUUGACGUUACCGACAGAAUAAGCACCGGCUAACUUCGUG
rnacentral:rRNA from 1 species